rnacentral:rRNA from 1 species
AAUUGAAGAGUUUGAUCAUGGCUCAGAUUGAACGCUGGCGGCAGGCCUAACACAUGCAAGUCGAGCGGUAGCACAGAGAGCUUGCUCUCGGGUGACGAGCGGCGGACGGGUGAGUAAUGUCUGGGAAACUGCCUGAUGGAGGGGGAUAACUACUGGAAACGGUAGCUAAUACCGCAUAACGUCGCAAGACCAAAGUGGGGGACCUUCGGGCCUCAUGCCAUCAGAUGUGCCCAGAUGGGAUUAGCUAGUAGGUGGGGUAACGGCUCACCUAGGCGACGAUCCCUAGCUGGUCUGAGAGGAUGACCAGCCACACUGGAACUGAGACACGGUCCAGACUCCUACGGGAGGCAGCAGUGGGGAAUAUUGCACAAUGGGCGCAAGCCUGAUGCAGCCAUGCCGCGUGUGUGAAGAAGGCCUUCGGGUUGUAAAGCACUUUCAGCGGGGAGGAAGGCGAUAAGGUUAAUAACCUUGGCGAUUGACGUUACCCGCAGAAGAAGCACCGGCUAACUCCGUGCCAGCAGCCGCGGUAAUACGGAGGGUGCAAGCGUUAAUCGGAAUUACUGGGCGUAAAGCGCACGCAGGCGGUCUGUCAAGUCGGAUGUGAAAUCCCCGGGCUCAACCUGGGAACUGCAUUCGAAACUGGCAGGCUAGAGUCUUGUAGAGGGGGGUAGAAUUCCAGGUGUAGCGGUGAAAUGCGUAGAGAUCUGGAGGAAUACCGGUGGCGAAGGCGGCCCCCUGGACAAAGACUGACGCUCAGGUGCGAAAGCGUGGGGAGCAAACAGGAUUAGAUACCCUGGUAGUCCACGCCGUAAACGAUGUCGAUUUGGAGGUUGUGCCCUUGAGGCGUGGCUUCCGGAGCUAACGCGUUAAAUCGACCGCCUGGGGAGUACGGCCGCAAGGUUAAAACUCAAAUGAAUUGACGGGGGCCCGCACAAGCGGUGGAGCAUGUGGUUUAAUUCGAUGCAACGCGAAGAACCUUACCUGGUCUUGACAUCCACAGAACUUUCCAGAGAUGGAUUGGUGCCUUCGGGAACUGUGAGACAGGUGCUGCAUGGCUGUCGUCAGCUCGUGUUGUGAAAUGUUGGGUUAAGUCCCGCAACGAGCGCAACCCUUAUCCUUUGUUGCCAGCGGUCCGGCCGGGAACUCAAAGGAGACUGCCAGUGAUAAACUGGAGGAAGGUGGGGAUGACGUCAAGUCAUCAUGGCCCUUACGACCAGGGCUACACACGUGCUACAAUGGCAUAUACAAAGAGAAGCGACCUCGCGAGAGCAAGCGGACCUCAUAAAGUAUGUCGUAGUCCGGAUUGGAGUCUGCAACUCGACUCCAUGAAGUCGGAAUCGCUAGUAAUCGUAGAUCAGAAUGCUACGGUGAAUACGUUCCCGGGCCUUGUACACACCGCCCGUCACACCAUGGGAGUGGGUUGCAAAAGAAGUAGGUAGCUUAACCUUCGGGAGGGCGCUUACCACUUUGUGAUUCAUGACUGGGGUGAAGUCGUAACAAGGUAACCGUAGGGGAACCUGCGGUUGGAUCACCUCCUUA